AUUCAUAAACAGUGGAAAAAACACCAAGUCAAUUUGUGUAUACAUACAUAUAUGUAAAAUGAUAAAAAAAUUGAUUUUAUUAAUCAUACUGAUAAAAAAUUGUAACUGCUUUCAAUACAAAUAUAAAAUUGUGCAUAACAUAAACAAUAAUCAAAAUUACGUAAGAAAAAUUCAAUCUGUUAAUUAUUUUUAUAAACCUAAAAUUAAACAAUCACGAGAGUUUAAAAAUGAAAUAUUUUCUUUCAUUUCGAAUUUUUUUACAAAUGAAACUAAUAAAUAUGUUUUGAACACAGAAGAAAAAAUAUACCUAAACAUGUUAGGUAAAACAGAUAAUGACAGUUACAAAGAUUUAGUUAAAGCACAUGAAGAAUUUAUUAAAUCUUGUGUUGAUAUUAAAACUAAAUUAAAAUAUAAAGACACAUUUUUUUUUAUUAUUCAAAAACUAAUUCAAAGAAAUUUACAUGAUUUUAAAAAAAAAACAAGGUUUUCAUAUUUUUAGAAAAAAUGAUUAUACUAGCGAAUUAUCAGUUGAUUAUGUAAAAAAUUCCAAUAUAGAAGAAAAAAUUAAAGAACAACUUCUGAAAAAACUAAGUAAUGAAUUAUCAGCUAGUAAAUAUUACCCUUUUCGUAUUUUUAAAUGGAAGGGCGCUUUAGAAAUUAUCAAUAUAACCACAUUAAUGCUUCCAAUAACCUGUAUAGGAUUAUUUUUAUCGAAAAUGGGACUAUUUUCCGUAGCUGUGAAUAUACUACUAACUGCACAUUUUUUAACUUUCAAAAAAGAUCAAAAAAAAAAAAUGGAAGUAUCCACAUUUGUUUUAACUUUGUUUCCGAUACUUUUACAUAUUUCUCUUGGUAUGGUUUCGAAGGAUCUAUUUCUUAAACAUUAUAAGGUAAUACGUACAUACGUGCAUAUACGUAUAUAUACAUGAUAAUUACCACAAUCAAAUGUAAUGAUAUUUUACAGGCAACUAUUUACUAGAGCAUAAUAUGCAU
rnacentral:lncRNA from 1 species